CAUUCACGGAGAGUUUGAUCCUGGCUCAGGACGAACGCUGGCGGCGUGCUUAACACAUGCAAGUCGAACGAUGAAGCCCUUCGGGG
rnacentral:rRNA from 1 species